rnacentral:rRNA from 1 species
GAUUCUGGCUCAGGAUGAACGCUAGCUACAGGCUUAACACAUGCAAGUCGAGGGGAAACGACAUCGAAAGCUUGCUUUUGAUGGGCGUCGACCGGCGCACGGGUGAGUAACGCGUAUCCAACCUGCCCACCACUUGGGGAUAACCUUGCGAAAGUAAGACUAAUACCCAAUGAUAUCUCUAGAAGACAUCUGAAAGAAAUUAAAGAUUUAUCGGUGAUGGAUGGGGAUGCGUCUGAUUAG